GUGGGGAAUCUUAGACAAUGGGCGCAAGCCUGAUCUAGCCAUGCCGCGUGAGCGAUGAAGGCCUUAGGGUUGUAAAGCUCUUUCGUGGGGGAAGAUAAUGACUGUACCCCAAGAAGAAGCCCCGGCUAACUCCGUGCCAGCAGCCGCGGUAAUACGGAGGGGGCUAGCGUUGUUCGGAAUUACUGGGCGUAAAGCGCACGUAGGCGGACUGGAAAGUCAGGGGUGAAAUCCCGGGGCUCAACCCCGGAACUGCCUUUGAAACUCCCAGUCUUGAGUUCGAGAGAGGUGAGUGGAAUUCCGAGUGUAGAGGUGAAAUUCGUAGAUAUUCGGAGGAACACCAGUGGCGAAGGCGGCUCACUGGCUCGAUACUGACGCUGAGGUGUGAAAGCGUGGGGAGCAAACAGGAUUAGAUACCCUGGUAGUCC
rnacentral:rRNA from 1 species